AUUGAACGCUGGCGGCAGGCUUAACACAUGCAAGUCGAGCGGGGUGAUGGUGCUUGCACUAUCACUUAGCGGCGGACGGGUGAGUAAUGCUUAGGAAUCUGCCUAUUAGUGGGGGACAACAUCUCGAAAGGGAUGCUAAUACCGCAUACGUCCUACGGGAGAAAGCAGGGGAUCACUUGUGACCUUGCGUUAAUAGAUGAGCCUAAGUCGGAUUAGCUAGUUGGUGGGGUAAAGGCCUACCAAGGCGACGAUAUGUACCGGGUCUGAGAGGAUGAUCCGCCACACUGGGACUGAGACACGGCCCAGACUCCUACGGGAGGCAGCAGUGGGGAAUAUUGGGCAAUGGGGGGAACCCUGCUCCAGCCAUGCCGCGUGUGUGAAGAAGGCCUUAUGGUUGUAAAGCACUUUAAGCGAGGAGGAGGCUCUUUUGGUUAAUACCCAAGAUGAGUGGACGUUACUCGCAGAAUAAGCACCGGCUAACUCUGUGCCAGCAGCCGCAGUAA
rnacentral:rRNA from 1 species